rnacentral:rRNA from 1 species
UCCCCUAGUAACGGCGAGUGAAGCGGGAAGAGCUCAAAUUUAAAAUCUGGCAGUCUACGGCUGUCCGAGUUGUAGUCUAGAGAAGUGUUUUCUGUGCUGGACCAUGUACAAGUCCCUUGGAAUAGGGCGUCAUAGAGGGUGAGAAUCCCGUCUUUGACAUGGACUACCAGUGCUCUGUGAUGCACUCUCGAAGAGUCGAGUUGUUUGGGAAUGCAGCUCAAAAUGGGUGGUAAAUUCCAUCUAAAGCUAAAUAUUGGUGGAAGACCGAUAGCGAACAAGUACCGUGAGGGAAAGAUGAAAAGCACUUUGGAAAGAGAGUUAAACAGUACGUGAAAUUGUUGAAAGGGAAACGCUUGAAGUCAGUCGCGUCUGUCAGGAUUCAGCCUUGCCUUGGCUUGGUGUAUUUCCUGUCUGACGGGCCAGCAUCAGUUUUGACCGCUGGAUAAAGGCAGGGGGAAUGUGGCACCUCCGGGUGUGUUAUAGCCUCCUGUUGUAUACAGCGGUUGGGACUGAGGACCGCAGCACGCCUUUAUGGCCGGGGUUCGCCCACGUAUCGUGCUUAGGAUGCUGGCGUAAUGGCUUUAAACGACCCGUCUUGAAACACGGACCAAGGAGUCUAACAUGCCUGCGAGUGUUUGGGUGGAAAACCCUUGCGCGUAAUGAAAGUGAUCAGUUGGGAUGUCUGUCGUGGACUGCACCAACGCCCGGACCUGAUGUUUACUGACGGUACCGAGGUAGAGCAAGUAUGUUGGGACCCGAAAGAUGGUGAACUAUGCCUGAGUAGGGUGAAGCCAGAGGAAACUCUGGUGGAGGCUCGUAGCGAUUCUGACGUGCAAAUCGAUCGUCGAACUUGGGUAUAGGGGCGAAAGACUAAUCGAACCAUCUAGUAGCUGGUUCCU